GAUGAACGCUGGCGGCGUGCCUAAUACAUGCAAGUCGAGCGAAUGGAUUGAGAGCUUGCUCUUAUGAAGUUAGCGGCGGACGGGUGAGUAACACGUGGGUAACCUGCCCAUAAGACUGGGAUAACUCCGGGAAACCGGGGCUAAUACCGGAUAACAUUUUGAACCGCAUGGUUCGAAAUUGAAAGGCGGCUUCGGCUGUCACUUAUGGAUGGACCCGCGUCGCAUUAGCUAGUUGGUGAGGUAACGGCUCACCAAGGCAACGAUGCGUAGCCGACCUGGGAGGGUGAUCGGCCACACUGGGACUGAGACACGGCCCAGACUCCUACGGGAGGCAGCAGUAGGGAAUCUUCCGCAAUGGACGAAAGUCCGACGGAGCAACGCCGCGUGAGUGAUGAAGGCUUUCGGGUCGUAAAACUCUGUCGUUUGGGAAGAACAAGUGCUAGUUGAAUAAGCUGGCACCUUGACGGUACCUAACCAGAAAGCCACGGCUAACUACGUGCCAGCCGCCGCAGUAA
rnacentral:rRNA from 1 species